rnacentral:misc_RNA from 1 species
GCAUCGAACGCGGAAGGACGAGAAGACAUUGGUGAAACAAAAUUCUGAAAAAUGGGUUUGAAAGAGGGAGGUUUGAUGGAGAAGAUGAGUUUCUUGAAUUGGGGAUGAGGCAAUGUGAUGGGGCGUAGAUAGUAACAUGAACGCAGUGAAAGCAUCAAUUGUAGGUACUGAAAACGGGAAGAAAACGAUUUCAGAGAGAGUAGAAGAGGGCAGAGGCGGAAGGGAACGAAGAAAAACUGCGAUAUGGC